AUUGAACGCUGGCGGGAUGCUUUACACAUGCAAGUCGAACGGGAGCGCGGACUUCGGUUUGUCGGCGAGUGGGAAGCGGGUGAGUAAUGUAUCGAAACGUGCCCAGUAGGGGGGGAUAAGCACGCAAAAGCGUAGCAUAUACCGCAGACGCCCUACGGAGGAAAGGAGGGGGUCGGAAGAGCGUGCACUAUUGGAUCAGCCGCUAUCGGAUUAGCUAGUUGGUGAGGGAACGGCUCACCAAGGCGACGAUCCGUAGCUGGUUUAAGAGUACGACCAGCCACACUGGGACUGAGACACGGCCCAGACUCCUACGGAAGGCAGGAGUGGGGAAUUUUGGACAAUGGGGGCAAGCCUGAUCCAGCAAUCCCGCGUGUGCGAUGAAGGCCUUCGGGUUGUAAAGCACUUUUGGCAGGAAAGAAACGUUGCUGGCUAAUACCCCGUGGAAAUGACGGUACCUGCAGAAUAAGCACCGGCUAACUCCGUG
rnacentral:rRNA from 1 species